rnacentral:misc_RNA from 1 species
AAAGCGUAAUGUAGAGGUAGAUAUCAUAUAUAGUUACUGCUUCUUUGUCGUCUUUCUUCUAACAAAUUGAAGUCUACAUGACUUUACAACUGUCAAUUAGCGAAUAAUGGUCAUAUUUCAAGAAUGAGUACUUGCGAUAAGUGAUGCAGUGUGUAAACGCAGAAAUAAUUAGGUUACAAGCAAGUUUUUAUAGAAAUUUGUACCCAAAUUCAUAGAAAAUUACUGUUUUAUUAACUGAAUAAUAUGAUUCCAGCAGAACAUAUUUAUAGCAAUUUACUACCCGAUUUGGUUAUCUUAAAGAGUCCAGUAAUAGCCUUGAUUAGAAUAACAAAGUAUUUAAUGGAAUAGGAAAAGAAAAGUGAAUGGCCUACCUUUACUAAAAGCCCUAAACUAGGAAUUUUAUCAAACUAAAGUAAAUCCUAAAAGUGAUAGGAAAAUAAUACAGCAUAUAUUAUAAAAUGAUAGGAAGAAAGAAGAGUCAAAAGUUAGGCUGUCA